rnacentral:tRNA from 1 species
AGUAAUAGUUCAGUCGGCAGAAUAUCGGCUUGCCAAGUCGAAGGUCACGGGUUCGAUCCCCGUUUACU